rnacentral:rRNA from 1 species
UACACUCCUGCGGGAGGCAGCAGUGAGGAAUAUUGGACAAUGGGUGGAAGCCUGAUCCAGCCAUCCCGCGUGCAGGAAGACGGCCCUAUGGGUUGUAAACUGCUUUUAUCUGGGGAUAAACCUACUUACGUGUAAGUAGCUGAAGGUACCAGAAGAAUAAGCACCGGCUAACUCCGUGCCAGCAGCCGCGGUAAUACGGAGGGUGCAAGCGUUAUCCGGAUUUAUUGGGUUUAAAGGGUCCGUAGGCGGACUGAUAAGUCAGUGGUGAAAUCCGACAGCUUAACUGUCGAACUGCCAUUGAUACUGUUAGUCUUGAGUAAGGUUGAAGUGGCUGGAAUAAGUAGUGUAGCGGUGAAAUGCAUAGAUAUUACUUAGAACACCAAUUGCGAAGGCAGGUCACUAAGUCUUAACUGACGCUGAUGGACGAAAGCGUGGGGAGCGAACAGGAUUAGAAACCCCGGUAGUCC